rnacentral:lncRNA from 1 species
UUUGGGGAAAUUAAGGGGUUUCUGAGGAGCACAUGUAUUGUCAACGCUAAUAUAAAAAGCAAAUGGGAGUGGGAGGAGUGGGAGAGAUGAUAAAAGUAUUCAUUCUGAUUUUAACUCUGAAAUCCAAGUACAUUUUAGGAGUGACAAGUAUUAUCUACAUCAUUCUUUUUAACAUUUCUUAUAUAUAAGCAGGAGUAAUUUUAAUAUCUAUAAUUACUAGCUACAUCGCUUUUUAAUCUAAAUUUACUAACUUCAGGGCCUUUUGUUUACCAACUCUCUAAUCACUUGUAUCACAUUUAACAGAUAUCAACUAUUAAUGUCAACAACUAAUGUACUUCUAACUGUUCAUAUCUUAACUGAAUAUUACCAACAUCAUCCUUAUUUAAAUAUAUUUAUUCCUCUAGCCAAAUGAACUCAGGGUUAACACUAAUUUCCAAGAUGGGUAGAAGUUAAGUAAAGAAUCUGAGACUCUGGUGCCUAAACUCCUUUAGGACAGAUGGCUGGUCUUCAAAGAAUUUACAACCACAUGACUGUUCCAUUCAAAAAUUAUAUUGUGCCACAGCCAACUCUGAUUAUUUAUGUUAACUGAAGGCAGAAGCACAGAUGAUCAAAAACAUUCUGCAAAUCACUUCUAGUUGGCUUUGAAAUAUCUAUUAAUUUUUUUUAAGAGAUUUAUUUGAUUAUCUUUUUCUCAGGAUAAUACGAAAAAUGACUUACAUUCCCUGGGUAUGAGCCAAAUGACAGGAGCAUAACGGGUGGUUGGACCAAUUCAAUGUGGGUAUAAAAACGCACCACAAAUAAAAUGGAAAGCAGACCAAUUAUAAGAGAUAAAUGAGACUUGACUACAGAUAUUAAAAAUAAGAUAUUUUAAAACACGAUUCUGUAUUAGGCUCUGUAUGGAAUUAGA